rnacentral:rRNA from 1 species
GGCUCACCAAGGCGACGAUGCGUAGCCGACCUGAGAGGGUGAACGGCCACACUGGGACUGAGACACGGCCCAGACUCCUACGGGAGGCAGCAGUAGGGAAUCUUCCGCAAUGGGCGAAAGCCUGACGGAGCAACGCCGCGUGAGUGAUGAAGGUUUUCGGAUCGUAAAGCUCUGUUGCCAGGGAAGAACGUCCGGUAGAGUAACUGCUACCGGAGUGACGGUACCUGAGAAGAAAGCCCCGGCUAACUACGUGCCAGCAGCCGCGGUAAUACGUAGGGGGCAAGCGUUGUCCGGAAUUAUUGGGCGUAAAGCGCGCGCAGGCGGCUA